GACGAACGCUGGCGGCGCGCUUAACACAUGCAAGUCGAACGGAAAGGCCUGCUUUCCCUUGUGGAUUGCGGGUACUCGAGUGGCGAACGGGUGAGUAACACGUGAGUGAUCUGCCCCCAACUUGGGUAUAAGCCUGGGAAACUGGGUCUAAUUCCCGAUAGGACUGCAGGGUGGUGCCUGUGGUGGAAAACGAUUUUCUAGUGGUUGGGGAUGAGCUCGCGGCCUAUCAGCUUGUUGGUGGGGUAAUGGCCUACCAAGGCGGCGACGGGUAGCCGGCCUGAGAGGGUGGACGGCCACAUUGGGACUGAGAUACAGCCCAGACUCCUACGGGAGGCAGCAGUGGGGAAUAUUACACAAUGGGCGGAAGCCUGAUGCAGCGACGCCGCGUGGGGGAUGACGGCCUUCGGGUUGUAAACUCCUUUCGACCGCGAGGAAGCCACCUGGUUGGAAGGGUGGUGACGGUAGUGGUAGAAGAAGCACCGGCUAACUACGUG
rnacentral:rRNA from 1 species